GAGUUUGAUCCUGGCUCAGGAUGAACGCCGGCGGUGUGCCUAAUGCAUGCAAGUCGUACGCACUGGCCCAACUGAUUGAUGGUGCUUGCACCUGAUCGACGAUGGAUCACCAGUGAGUGGCGGACGGGUGAGUAACACGUAGGUAACCUGCCCUGUACAGGGGGAUAACAAUCAGAAAUGACUGCUAAUACCGCAUAAGACCACAGCACCGCAUGGUGCAGGGGUAAAAACUCCGGUGGUACAGGAUGGACCCGCGUCUGAUUAGCUGGUUGGUGAGGUAACGGCUCACCAAGGCGACGAUCAGUAGCCGGCUUGAGAGAGUGAACGGCCACAUUGGGACUGAGACACGGCCCAAACUCCUACGGGAGGCAGCAGUGGGGAAUAUUGCACAAUGGGGAAACCCUGAUGCAGCAACGCCGCGUGAGUGAAGAAGUAUUUCGGUAUGUAAAGCUCUAUCAGCAGGGAAGAAAGUGACGGUACCUGACUAAGAAGCCCCGGCUAA
rnacentral:rRNA from 1 species